CAGUAGCCACGGGAAUACGUAGGUGGCAAGCGUUGUCCGGAAUUAUUGGGCGUAAAGCGCGCGCAGGCGGAUCAGUCAGUCUGUCUUAAAAGUUCGGGGCUUAACCCCGUGAUGGGAUGGAAACUGCUGAUCUAGAGUAUCGGAGAGGAAAGUGGAAUUCCUAGUGUAGCGGUGAAAUGCGUAGAUAUUAGGAAGAACACCAGUGGCGAAGGCGACUUUCUGGACGAAAACUGACGCUGAGGCGCGAAAGCGUGGGGAGCAAACAGGAUUAGAUACCCCCGUAGUCCCUGUCUCUUAUACA
rnacentral:rRNA from 1 species